UUUGAACUUGUACGAAUUGGCUGAACAGCACAGCCUGUUCGUAUAAGUUCCAA
ensembl:miRNA cin-mir-4002 cin-mir-4002